UAGCUCAGCAGGUUAAAGCACAGUGCUGGAAACACUGAGGUCAUCGGUUCAAACCCGGU
rnacentral:tRNA from 1 species